UUCCUCUCAGGAUCGCACCUGGAGAGUUUCCAGUACUCUGCCAAUCUCGGCUAUGGGAGGGAGAGUCAAGCAGAGGCGUGCCCAUUCAAUUCCUUGCUUGGACCGUGGCUAGAGAGUGGAAGGCAAUCUGCUACAGGU